AUACGGAGGGUGCGAGCGUUAAUCGGAAUUACUGGGCGUAAAGCGUACGUAGGCGGUUUGUUAAGUUAGAUGUGAAAGCCCUGGGCUUAACCUGGGAACUGCAUUUAAAACUGGCAGACUAGAGUUUGAUAGAGGAGAGUGGAAUUUCAGGUGUAGCGGUGAAAUGCGUAGAGAUCUGAAGGAACAUCAGUGGCGAAGGCGACUCUCUGGAUUAAAACUGACGCUGAGGUACGAAAGCGUGGGUAGCAAACAGGAUUAGAAACCCUAGUAGUCC
rnacentral:rRNA from 1 species